UACGAAGGAUUCGAGCGUUAUCCGGAUUUAUUGGGUUUAAAGGGUGCGUAGGUGGAUUAAUAAGUCAGUGGUGAAAGCCCAGAGCUCAACUCUGGAACUGCCAUUGAUACUGUUGAUCUUGAGUACAGUUGAGGUGGGCGGAAUGUGUCAUGUAGCGGUGAAAUGCUUAGAUAUGACACAGAACACCGAUUGCGAAGGCAGCUCACUAAGCUGUAACUGACACUGAGGCACGAAAGCGUGGGGAGCAAACAGG
rnacentral:rRNA from 1 species